rnacentral:tRNA from 1 species
ACCUAGCUGGCUCAGUCAGUAGAGCAUGAGACUCUUGAUUUUGAGGUUGUGAGCUCUAGCCCCAUGUUGGUUA